ACCUAGUCAGCAGGGCCUGGUGGCCAU
rnacentral:piRNA from 1 species